UACGAAGGGCCCGAGCGUUAAUCGGAAUCACUGGGCUUAAAGGGUGCGCAGGCUGGCCUGCAAGUGUCUUGUGAAAUCCCAUGGCUCAACCAUGGAAUUGCUUGGCAAACUGCAGGUCUUGAGCCCGACAGAGGUCGUCGGAACGCUAGGUGGAGCGGUGAAAUGCGUAGAUAUCUAGCGGAACGCCAAAGGUGAAGACGGGCGACCGGGUCGGCGCUGACGCUCAGGCACGAAAGCAUGGGUAGCGAACGGG
rnacentral:misc_RNA from 1 species